rnacentral:rRNA from 1 species
UACGUAGGGGGCUAGCGUUGUCCGGAUUUAUUGGGCGUAAAGAGCGUGUAGGCGGCCAUGUAGGUCCGGUGUGAAAACUCGAGGCUUAACCUCGAGAUGUCAUCGGAAACCAUCUGGCUAGAGUCCGGAAGAGGAGAGUGGAAUUCCUGGUGUAGCGGUGAAAUGCGCAGAUAUCAGGAAGAACACCCGUGGCGAAGGCGGCUCUCUGGGACGGUACUGACGCUGAGACGCGAAAGCGUGGGGAGCAAACAGG